CCUGGUGGUUACAGCGGAGCGGCUGCACCCGAUCCCAUUCCGAACUCGGCCGUGAAACGCUCCAGCGCCAAUGGUACUUCGUCUCAAGACGCGGGAGAGUAGGUCGCUGCCAGGU
rnacentral:rRNA from 5 species